AAAGAAAAGCAGCAAGUGUGGAACCGGGAUGAGACCCUAACCUCUUUGCUAAAUAACCCUCCAGCCUUCCCAAAACUUCGGGGCCGCCACGAUUCUUCCUAAAGUUAUUUUCCUUUACUUUUGUUUCCAUUAGGUCACCCGGCCCGCCCACAUCAUUUACCUAGGGUAGCGCACUAGCCAGCUCUGCCCUAAGCGCUAACUCCAACUCCGCACACCCCUCACACCUCCCCCGCACCAUCCUCGAGUCCGGACAGCACCCCAUCUCAGGAAGGCGCACCCCACGAGCUCGGCACGCCCCUUACACCAAAUGCGGCCGCGCCCCGGACACCCUUUCUCGAGAAAGAGCCCGGGAUACCCUAUUCUGUUCGCACUCCAGCCCGUGAGCUCGGCGCGCCCCCGCGCCCAGCCGCACCGCAGGGGCGCCCCCUCUCGGGAAAGCUAAGGCUCGCGCCACAGCGCACGGCAGCUCCGCCCUCACCUGAGUCGUAGGUUGGCCAUGAACUCGGGCAUGGAGACAGUGUCCAUCAGCACGAAGUCCGCCUUGCCGAACUCCAGGCUCUCCUGCUCCGCCAUGGCGCCGGCUUACGGGCUCAGGAAAUCUAGAAGCCCCUAAAGACCUGGAUGGGCUCCAAUUCUGUGGCUGAAUUUGAGAUGAGUAAACCAGCCUGAAGGACCCUGCUCAAGGCCUGCUUCAGCUGCCAGCAACCCACCCUGGCCAAGAGAGAGGGGAAGGCAGCUUGAUCACCUCCUGAGAGAGCACUUCUGCCAUCAAAAAGGUUCCUCAACUCCUUGCCCAGGCGGAGCUGCAUUCCAACCGCCAUCAGCAGCUCCCUUCACCAGAGGACGCCUCUCUGGAUCUCAUUGCUCUCAUUUGUAGAACAAGACCUCUGGGCUAGACACUCUCCAAGGCAGGACUGUCCUUAUUUGGGUCAUUUGUGUGGAUCAGUGGCUAAACAUGUAAUUGCAUAGAUAUGACAUAUUCAUAAAAUGUUUGUAUCGGUAUGUUUUAACAUAAGUAUAACUGAAUUU